ACUACUCCGCCUUUGUUAAAAUGUGGAUCAACUUUGUUGCUGUGAAAUAGCUUUAAUUUAUCGUGCGUUGGUGAAUUACUAUGGUUUUAUUUAACCUGACAUGUAUUAGUGUUAACAGUGAUUAACUUGGAACUAGUUUAUGAAUCAUCAGCUUCUCAAUAUAUGAAUCACUGACGAGAUGGAAACAUAAGAACUAAACAUGAAAAGUAACACGGGUUUGAAUGAGGCGUUCUAUCGCCAAAAGCUAGAGCAGAAGCUGAUGGUGGCCAAGAUGGAGGCAAUGUGUAGCGUCGCC